GCCAGGUGCGGUGGCGUGCGCCUGUAGUCCCAGCGACUCGGGAGACUGAGGCAGGAGGAUCACUUGAGCCCAGGAGUUCUGGGCUGUAGUGCGCUAUGCCGAUUGGGUGUCCGCACUAAGUUCGGCAUCAGUAUGGUGACUUCCCGGGAGCAGGGGACCACCAAGUUGCCUAAGGAGGGAUGAACUGGCCCAGGUCAGAAAACACAACUGUUCAAAGUCUUUGAGAUGCAGCAAAGGCAGUCCUAAGAGGAAAGUAUAUAGCAACACAAGCCUUUCUCAAGAAAUAAGAAAGGUCUCAA
rnacentral:SRP_RNA from 1 species